rnacentral:rRNA from 1 species
AGUGAACGCUGGCGGUAGGCCUAACACAUGCAAGUCGAACGGCAGCACAGGAGAGCUUGCUCUCUGGGUGGCGAGUGGCGGACGGGUGAGGAAUACAUCGGAAUCUACUCUGUCGUGGGGGAUAACGUAGGGAAACUUACGCUCAUACCGCAUACGUCCUACGGGUGAAAGCCGGGGACCUUCGGCCCUUGCGCGAUUGAAGGAGCCGAUGUCGGAUUAGCUAGUUGGCGGGGUAAAGGCCCACCAAGGCGACGAUCCGUAGCUGGUCUGAGAAGAUGAUCAGCCACACUGGAACUGAGACACGGUCCAGACUCCUACGGGUGGCAGCAGUGGGGAAUAUUGGACAAUGGGCGCAAGCCUGAUCCAGCCAUACCGCGUGGGUGAAGAAGGCCUUCGGGUUGUAAAGCCCUUUUGUUGGGAAAGAAAUCCAGCUGGCUAAUACCCGGUUGGGAUGACGGUACCCAAAGAAUAAGCACCGGCUAACUUCGUGCCAGCCGCCGCGGUAA